rnacentral:misc_RNA from 1 species
GUUUUCCUUGGUUUUCAGCCUCGGUCAGGUUCAGGGUGCGAUUUUGCUGGGACCCUUGGUGUGGCAGACACGUGCGGGUAGUUGUUGCUGGUGAUACCACGUGGCCGGACUGGUAGGUUGGCCGCUAGGACCCCAACUUUACGCCCAACUUUACGACCAACAUAUACGCCUAAAUGUUACAUGAGUUCUGAUAAACAUCCUAGACCAUCAAGAACACAUUUAGCACCCUUGAAUCUACUCUCUGGCAAGGAAGACAAUUUUUUUAACUUGGCGUGUGCAAGCCCCGACCUACGGUAGACGACGCGGCGGUGGAAGGUGUCAUUGAAUUUAUGGUCUAGCCACGUGUCUAGGAUUCGCACAAAGAUAAGUGACCUUAGUUAACCUCCACCCAUGUGCCAGAAGUAAAUCGAACCCUAGUGUAGUUUUUUAAGUGAUUUUUAUAUAAGCCAGAAGUAUUUCGAGUAGUUUAAAUAUUUUUUUUUUAUCGAUCAGCAAUAUAACGAGUUUAUGUUUGAUGUUUGAAAGAAUAUUGUUAAUCUAUAAAAACAGCGUAGGGAUGUAUGUUUAUUCCUGGUUAUAAAGAUUAAUUUGUGUUAAUUUUAGAUUUACUUGUAUUAAAUUACUUUUUCCAAAUGUUGGUCUGGA